CCCUGCGCCGGCGUGGGGGGAGGGUGGGGCCGGAGUUAGUCCGCUCCCUAAGCCCCUCCAGAAGCGGGAACGCCCACAGCGGCGCAAAAAAGCUACGCCAUGGAAAAAGAAGGCGUAGCCCAUAGGCGCCCAUGGAACGGCAAAAAAACGACCCUCUCUCUGAGCGCCCCGCCCCGCCCCCAUGGCCUGAAGGAGCAUAGGAUGAGAACUAUCCCGGGGACCAAUCAGCAUGCGCGCCCGGAAUGGACGAGCCCCCCUCUCUGCACCCAAUCAUCUGCGAACGUGCCCUACAAAACAUCCGGCCAGCGCCGCCCAAACCCCAGGUGCCCUGACUCUGGCGCUCCCGCCUGGUGAUGACCGACAGAGCGCUGACAGGUAAAGGCUUGCCAAGGCUGAGCGCAUCCUCGCCAGACCGUCAUGGAUCAGCUGGUCGCUGCUGGCGUCGACUAUAUGCAUCCUCCCGGAUGGCGGAGUGUGGGGCUUGCCUCGCCAGUGGAACGAGGCAAAGCCCACAUGUGUCUUUUUCCCCCACAGGCACGUCCAGGGCAGGGCUGCUCCCCCGCGUCCUGCCCUCCCCAAACAUCUCUGUCGGACGGUUGGCUGCAGCCCAGGAAGCACUUUCGCGCCGUGGCCUGCAUCCCAGCCCCGUCCCUCCGAGCGGGAAGGAGGGCUGUGUGGAAUGCUCCGACUCCCUUGCUAGCCUAAAAACAAGCCCACUUGUUCCAGUGCAAUAAAACGAGUUGUCAAACAAC